UACGAAGGGGGCUAGCGUUGCUCGGAAUCACUGGGCGUAAAGGGGUGCGUAGGCGGGUCUUUAAGUCAGGGGUGAAAUCCUGGAGCUCAACUCCAGAACUGCCUUUGAUACUGAAGAUCUUGAGUCCGGGAGAGGUGAGUGGAACUGCGAGUGUAGAGGUGAAAUUCGUAGAUAUUCGCAAGAACACCAGUGGCGAAGGCGGCUCACUGGCCCGGUACUGACGCUGAGGCACGAAAGCGUGGGGAGCAAACAGG
rnacentral:rRNA from 1 species